rnacentral:rRNA from 1 species
GAUGAACGCUGGCGGCGUGCCUAAUACAUGCAAGUCGAGCGAAUGGAUUAAGAGCUUGCUCUUAUGAAGUUAGCGGCGGACGGGUGAGUAACACGUGGGUAACCUGCCCAUAAGACUGGGAUAACUCCGGGAAACCGGGGCUAAUACCGGAUAACAUUUUGAACCGCAUGGUGAGAAAUUGAAAGGCGGCUUCGGCUGUCCCUUAUGGAUGGACCCGCGUCGCAUUAGCUAGUUGGUGAGGUAACGGCUCACCAAGGCAACGAUGCGUAGCCGGCCUGAGAGGGUGAUCGGCCACACUGGGACUGAGACACGGCCCAGACUCCUACGGGAGGCAGCAGUAGGGAAUCUUCCGCAAUGGACGAAAGUCUGACGGAGCAACGCCGCGUGAGUGAUGAAGGCUUUCGGGUCGUAAAACUCUGUUGUUAGGGAAGAACAAGUGCUAGCUGAAUAAGCUGGCACCUUGACGGUACCUAACCAGAAAGCCACGGCUAACUACGUGCCAGCAGCCGCAGUAA